CGCUGGCGGCGUGCCUAACACAUGCAAGUCGAACGCGAAAGCCCGCAAGGGUUAGUAGAGUGGCGCACGGGUGAGUAACACGUGGACAACCUGCCUUCGAGUGGGGAAUAACCUUCCGAAAGGGGGGCUAAUACCGCAUAAAACCUCGGAACACAAGUUCUGGGGUUGAAAAGAGCAAUUUGCUCGAAGAGGGGUCCGCGCCUGAUUAGCUAGUUGGUGAGGUAACGGCUCACCAAGGCUUCGAUCAGUAGCCGUCCUGAGAGGGAGCACGGCCACACUGGAACUGAGACACGGUCCAGACUCCUACGGGAGGCAGCAGUGGGGAAUUUUUGGCAAUGGGCGAAAGCCUGACCAAGCAACGCCGCGUGGGUGAUGAAGUAUCUUGGUACGUAAAACCCUUUCGGCAGGGACGAACCUAAUGACGGUACCUGCGGAAGAAGCCCCGGCUAACUCCGUGCCAGCAGCCGCGGUAAUACGGGGGGGGCAAGCGUUGUUCGGAAUUACUGGGCGUAAAGGGCGCGUAGGCGGUUGGAUAAGUCAGCUGUGAAAACCACGGGCUUAACUCGUGGCCUGCAGUUGAGACUGUCUGGCUUGAGUGUG
rnacentral:rRNA from 1 species